GAUAAAAUGGCUGAGUAGAAAGGCAUUAAACUGUAAAUUUAAUAAGGGUUAAAUAAACUUUUUAUCA
rnacentral:tRNA from 1 species